ACGAACGCUGGCGGCGUGCUUAACACAUGCAAGUCGAACGGAAAGGCCCUGCUUUUGUGGGGUGCUCGAGUGGCGAACGGGUGAGUAACACGUGAGUAACCUGCCCUUGACUUUGGGAUAACUUCAGGAAACUGGGGCUAAUACCGGAUAGGAGCUCCUGCUGCAUGGUGGGGGUUGGAAAGUUUCGGCGGUUGGGGAUGGACUCGCGGCUUAUCAGCUUGUUGGGGGGGUAGUGGCUUACCAAGGCUUUGACGGGUAGCCGGCCUGAGAGGGUGACCGGCCACCUUGGGACUGCGGUACGGCCCAGUCUCCUACGGGAGGCAGCAGUGGGGAAUAUUGCACAAUGGGCGGAAGCCUGAUGCAGCAACGCCGCGUGCGGGAUGACGGCCUUCGGGUUGUGAACCGCUUUCGCCUGUGACGAAGCGUGAGUGACGGUAAUGGGUAAAGAAGCACCGGCUAACUACGUG
rnacentral:rRNA from 1 species